rnacentral:rRNA from 1 species
CCUACGGGCGGCAGCAGUGAGGAAUAUUGGUCAAUGGACGGAAGUCUGAACCAGCCAUGCCGCGUGCAGGAAGACGGCUCUAUGAGUUGUAAACUGCUUUUGUACAAGGGUAAACCUGAAUACGUGUAUUCAGCUGAAAGUACUGUACGAAUAAGGAUCGGCUAACUCCGUGCCAGCAGCCGCGGUAAUACGGAGGAUCCAAGCGUUAUCCGGAUUUAUUGGGUUGAAAGGGUGCGUAGGCGGAUUGAUAAGUUAGAGGUGAAAUGUCCGAGCUUAACUCGGGAACUGCCUCUAAUACUGUUGGUCUAGAGAGUAGAUGCGGUAGGCGGAAUGUAUGGUGUAGCGGUGAAAUGCUUAGAGAUCAUACAGAACACCGAUUGCGAAGGCAGCUUACCAAUCUAUAUCUGACGUUGAGGCACGAAAGCGUGGGGAGCAAACAGGAUUAGAUACCCCGGUAGUC